UACGAAGGGGGCUAGCGUUGUUCGGAAUUACUGGGCGUAAAGAGCUCGUAGGCGGCUCGUCGCGUCAGCUGUGAAAACCCCGCGGCUUAACCGUGGGCUUGCAGCUGAUACGGGCAGGCUCGAGUUCGGUAGGGGAGACUGGAAUUCCUGGUGUAGCGGUGAAAUGCGCAAAUAUCAGGAGGAACACCGGUGGCGAAGGCGGCUCUCUGGGCCUUACCUGACGCUGAGGGAGCGAAAAGCUGGGGUAGCGAACAGG
rnacentral:rRNA from 1 species